UAGGGAAUCUUCCGCAAUGGACGAAAGUCUGACGGAGCAACGCCGCGUGAGUGAUGAAGGUCUUCGGAUCGUAAAACUCUGUUAUCAGGGAAGAACAAGCAUAGGAGUAACUGCCUGUGCCUUGACGGUACCUGACCAGAAAGCCACGGCUAACUACGUGCCAGCAGCCGCGGUAAUACGUAGGUGGCAAGCGUUGUCCGGAAUUAUUGGGCGUAAAGCGCGCGCAGGCGGUCCUUUAAGUCUGAUGUGAAAUCCCGUGGCUUAACCACGGGCGGUCAUUGGAAACUGGGGGACUUGAGUGCAGAAGAGAAGAGCGGAAUUCCACGUGUAGCGGUGAAAUGCGUAGAGAUGUGGAGGAACACCAGUGGCGAAGGCGGCUCUUUGGUCUGUAACUGACGCUGAGGCGCGAAAGCGUGGGGAGCGAACAGGAUUAGAUACCCGUGUAGUCC
rnacentral:rRNA from 1 species